rnacentral:lncRNA from 1 species
UAAGGACUGUGUCAGUUUUGAAGGGUUUAACGUAGGCGGCAUCAACCUCAACAACUGUCAGCUGAUGACCAGCAAUCUUGAAGAAGAGCUCUUCAUUAAGUGCAGCAUUGAUUAUCCUAAGCAUGUAGGUCUUGCCGGAACGUACUGGUAAGGUAAAUCCCCCUGCAGUUCAAGCAAAAUAAGGAUUCAAUAAGUUUCCAACUAAACGAUAUAUAUAAUCUUGUGCUGGGUUUGAAACUCUGCAAAAAGUCUCAGUUUUGCUUAUUGGCGUUAAGAUGUUAUAUUCUAUUUGUUGGGGUUUUAAUUUGAACCUUGUGAAGGGCAGGUUGAGACAGGUCCUGGAUGGCCAUUAAUGGUGUGAGCAUCUGAGACAUUUGGUGCCAACCCAGAUUUCAUGGCUUCAUUGACCACAGCUUCAACAUCUGAUUUCCACCAUUCACCUACAACUCCAAAAAAUUUCAUAUCAUUAUCAUCU